rnacentral:rRNA from 1 species
GAUGAACGCUGGCGGCGUGCCUAACACAUGCAAGUCGAGCGAUUCUCUUCGGAGAAGAGCGGCGGACGGGUGAGUAACGCGUGGGUAACCUGCCCUGUACACACGGAUAACAUACCGAAAGGUAUGCUAAUACGAGAUAAUAUACUUUUAUCGCAUGGUAGAAGUAUCAAAGCUCCGGCGGUACAGGAUGGACCCGCGUCUGAUUAGCUAGUUGGUAAGGUAACGGCUUACCAAGGCGACGAUCAGUAGCCGACCUGAGAGGGUGAUCGGCCACAUUGGAACUGAGACACGGUCCAAACUCCUACGGGAGGCAGCAGUGGGGAAUAUUGCACAAUGGGCGAAAGCCUGAUGCAGCAACGCCGCGUGAGCGAUGAAGGCCUUCGGUCGUAAAGCUCUGUCCUCAGGAAGAGUAAUGACGGUACGUUGAGGAGGAAGCCCCGGCCGUAACUAACGUG